rnacentral:rRNA from 1 species
GACGAACGCUGGCGGCGUGCCUAAUACAUGCAAGUUGAGCGCUGAAGGUUGGUACUUGUACCCACUGGAUGAGCAGCGAACGGGUGAGUAACGCGUGGGGAAUCUGCCUUUGAGCGGGGGACAACAUUUGGAAACGAAUGCUAAUACCGCAUAAAAACUUUAAACACAAGUUUUAAGUUUGAAAGAUGCAAUUGCAUCACUCAAAGAUGAUCCCGCGUUGUAUUAGCUAGUUGGUGAGGUAAAGGCUCACCAAGGCGAUGAUACAUAGCCGACCUGAGAGGGUGAUCGGCCAAAUUGGGACUGGGACACGGCCCAAACUCCUACGGGAGGCAGCAGGAGGGAAUCAUCGGCAAUGGAGGAAAGUCUGACCGAGCAACGCCGCGGGAGUGAAGGAGGGUCUCGGAUCGUAAAACUCUGUUGGUAGAGAAGAAAGUGGGUGAGAGUGGAAAGCUCAUCAAGUGACGGUAACUACCCAGAAAGGGACGGCUAACUACGUG